rnacentral:rRNA from 1 species
CCUACGGGAGGCAGCAGUGAGGAAUAUUGGUCAAUGGGCGCGAGCCUGAACCAGCCAAGUAGCGUGAAGGAUGACUGCCCUACGGGUUGUAAACUUCUUUUAUAAAGGAAUACAGUCAGGAACGUGUGCCUUUUUGUAUUUACUUUAUGAAUAAGGAUCGGCUAACUCCGUGCCAACAGCCGCGGUAAUACGGAGGAUCCGAGCGUUCGCCGGAUUUAUUGGGUUUAAAGGGAGCGUAGAUGGGUUGUUAAGUCAGUUGGGAAAGUGUACGGGUCAAACCUAAAAGUGCAAUUGAUACUGGCAGCAUUGAGUACAGGUGAGGUAGGCGGAAUUCGUGGUGUAGCGGUGAAAUGCAUAGAUAUCACGAAGAACUCCGAUUGCGAAGGCAGCAUACUAAACUGCCACUGACAUUGAUGCUCGAAAGUGUGGGUAUCAAACAGGAUUAGAUACCCUUGUAGUC